CCUACGGGAGGCAGCAGUGGGGAAUAUUGGGCAAUGGGCGCAAGCCUGACCCAGCAACGCCGCGUGAAGGAAGAAGGCUUUCGGGUUGUAAACUUCUUUUCUCAGGGACGAAGCAAGUGACGGUACCUGAGGAAUAAGCCACGGCUAACUACGUGCCAGCAGCCGCGGUAAUACGUAGGUGGCAAGCGUUAUCCGGAUUUACUGGGUGUAAAGGGCGUGUAGGCGGGAAAGCAAGUCAGAUGUGAAAACCAUGGGCUCAACCUGUGGCCUGCAUUUGAAAAUGUUUUUCUUGAGUACUGGGGAGGCAGACGGAAUUCCUAGUGUAGCGGUGAAAUGCGUAGAUAUUAGGAGGAACACCAGUGGCGAAGGCGGUCUGCUGGACAGCAACUGACGCUGAGGCGCGAAAGCGUGGGGAGCAAACAGGAUUAGAUACCCGAGUAGUC
rnacentral:rRNA from 1 species